rnacentral:rRNA from 1 species
ACUCAAAUGAAUUGACGGGGACCCGCACAAGCGGUGGAGCAUGUUGUUCAAUUCGAAGCAACGCGAAGAACCUUACCUACCCUUGACAUACCAAGUAUGAUUUCCAGAGAUGGAUUUCUUCAGUUCGGCUGGCUUGGAUACAGGUGCUGCAUGGCUGUCGUCAGCUCGUGUCGUGAGAUGUUGGGUUAAGUCCCGCAACGAGCGCAACCCUCAUCGUCUGUUGCCAUCAGGUUAAGCUGGGCACUCUGACGAGACUGCCGGUGACAAGCCGGAGGAAGGCGGGGAUGACGUCAAGUCAUCAUGGCCCUUACGGGUAGGGCCACAAACGUGCUACAAUGGCGGUGACAGUGGGCUGCGAGGCUGCAAAGCCAAGCCAAUCCCAAAAAGCCGUCUCAGUUCAGAUUGUCCUCUGCAACUCGAGGGCAUGAAGCUGGAAUCGCUAGUAAUCGUGGAUCAGCACGCCACGGUGAAUACGUUCCCGGGUCUUGUACACACCGCCCGU